rnacentral:rRNA from 1 species
GACGAAGGGGGCUAGCGUUGUUCGGAAUUACUGGGCGUAAAGGGCUCGUAGGCGGCCAACUAAGUCAGACGUGAAAUCCCUCGGCUUAACCGGGGAACUGCGUCUGAUACUGGAUGGCUAGAGGUUGGGAGAGGGAUGCGGAAUUCCAGGUGUAGCGGUGAAAUGCGUAGAUAUCGGAAGGAACACCAGUGGCGAAAGCGACUUCCUGGUCCAAUACUGACGUUCAUGUGCGAAAGCGUGGGGAGCAAACAGG